rnacentral:misc_RNA from 1 species
AACGCACAUUGCGCCCCUUGGUAUUCCGAGGGGCAUGCCUGUUCGAGCGUCAUUGCAAACCCUCAAGCCUAGCUUGGUCUUGGGCGCACGUCCCCUGGGGACCCGCCCGCAACAUGUAGGCGGCACCGUCCGGCUUCAGGCGUAGCAAGAAACUUUCCCUCGCCUAGGAGACCGCGGCGGCGCCGGCCGGCAAAGCGACCUCAACCCGUAGKUUGACCUCGGAUCAGGUAGGGAUACCCGCUGAACUUAA